rnacentral:tRNA from 1 species
GACCCUGUAGCCUAAUGGAUAAGGCAUCUGACUUCUGAUCAGAAGAAUGUAGGUUCGAGUCCUACCAGGGUCG